rnacentral:misc_RNA from 1 species
UACGGAGGGGGCAAGCGUUAAUCGGAAUUACUGGGCGUAAAGCGCGCGUAGGUGGCUUGAUAAGCCGGUUGUGAAAGCCCCGGGCUCAACCUGGGAACGGCAUCCGGAACUGGCAGGCUAGAGUCUUGUAGAGGGGGGUAGAAUUCCAGGUGUAGCGGUGAAAUGCGUAGAGAUCUGGAGGAAUACCGGUGGCGAAGGCGGCCUUCUGGUCUGACACUGACGCUGAGGCGCGAAAGCGCGGGUAGCAAACAGG